UACGUUGACACUACCGCACGCCGGUUGC
rnacentral:piRNA from 1 species